UAACAUACAAAAUAUUAGUUUCUUUCAUUCUUCAGACCUUACAGCGUUGCUACGCACAAGAAGAUGGAACAUGCAAUCGUGUAAAAGCAGAGGAUGCUGAUAAAAAAGCAGUACGUGCGAGACCAAGGUUGGGAUGAAGAGUUUUAGAGAUCUAGGGUCGAAAAACAAUUCGUAUAGAGACAAUCUCUUUGUAGGUCAAAUUUUAGUUUAGUAUUUGAAAAAGAAUGGAGCCUCGUAAAGGAUGCUGUACAACAGCCAUUUCCCUCCUAGACUCUUCAUCCUCGUUUAUGCAAACCAAAGCAUCAUGCACAACUAAAAUUCCCAAUCCUUGAAUUACUUAUUUUUUUUAUAUCUUGCAGGAAUUUCAAAAUCAAUUAUUUUAGAAACGAGUGAUAUACGCAAUGUUACUGUGCGAUAAAUAAAGAGUCAACGUCUAUUGAUGCACACUCGACACGAAGAACGUUCAAAUUACAAUAUAAGAACCUCCGUAUCGCCCAAACGAUUUGAUGCAAUAACGUGCACCGUAAACGUGACUGCAAUUGGUCGGUAUCAAGAUUUAAACUCCAACUUCGAACUUAAAGUACACUAGGCGCCUAGAGGUUAUUUAGAUAAUCGAUCGUGCUUUGAUUUCUCCCAUAUGAUUUAAUGUGAAAGGAUGGCCACAUGAUUUCAGAUUACGAACGGAACAGUUGUAUCGACCAAGGUCCGAUUUCUCCACACGUUUUUCAACCACUUUCGUUGAAGAGUCACAACAUAACGCGCGACGAUAACCCCUACUCGAAUUUCCAGUGUCUGAAACGAGAGUCACGACGU